rnacentral:rRNA from 1 species
UACGGGGGGGGCAAGCGUUGUUCGGAGUUACUGGGCGUAAAGGGUGCGUAGGCGGUUUUCCAAGUUUGGUGUGAAAUCUCCCGGCUUAACUGGGAGGGUGCGCCGAAAACUAGGAGACUUGAGUACCGGAGAGGUAAGCGGAAUUCCUGGUGUAGCGGUGAAAUGCGUAGAGAUCAGGAGGAACACCUGUGGUGUAGACAGCUUACUGGACGGUCACUGACGCUGAGGCACGAAAGCGUGGGUAGCAAACAGG